AACGAACGCUGGCGGCAGGCCUAACACAUGCAAGUCGAGCGCGCCCUUCGGGGUGAGCGGCGGACGGGUGCGUAACGCGUGGGAACGUGCCCUUCUCUGCGGAAUAGCCUCGGGAAACUGAGAGUAAUACCGCAUACGCCCUUUGGGGGAAAGAUUUAUCGGAGAAGGAUCGGCCCGCGUUGGAUUAGGUAGUUGGUGGGGUAAUGGCCCACCAAGCCGACGAUCCAUAGCUGGUUUGAGAGGAUGAUCAGCCACACUGGGACUGAGACACGGCCCAGACUCCUACGGGAAGCAGCAGUGGGGAAUCUUAGACAAGGGGGGCAACCCUGAUCUAGCCAUGCCGCGUGAGUGAUGAAGGCCUUAGGGUUGUAAAGCUCUUUCAGCUGGGAAGAUAAUGACGGUACCAGCAGAAGAAGCCCCGGCUAACUCCGUG
rnacentral:rRNA from 1 species